GCCUGCCUAGCUCAAUCGGAUAGAGCGUCAGACUCUUAAUCUGAAGGCUGCGAGUUUGACCCUCGCGGUGGGCU
rnacentral:tRNA from 1 species